AUUGAACGCUGGCGGCAGGCCUAACACAUGCAAGUCGAGCGAGCGGCGGACGGGAGGGUAAUGUAUGGGGAUAUCCCUGAUGGAGGGGGAUAACUACUGGAAACGGUAGCUUAUACCGCAUACUAUCAGAUGAACCCAUAUGGGAUUAGCUUGUAGGGGGGGUAACGGCUCACCUGGACGACGAGCCCUAGCUGGUCUGAGAGGAUGACCAGCCACACUGGGACGGAGACACGGCCCAGACUCCUACGGGAGGCAGCAGUGGGGAAUAUUGCACAAUGGGCGCAAGCCUGAUGCAGCCAUGCCGCGUGUAUGAAGAAGGCCUUCGGGUUGUAAAGUACUUUCAGUCGGGAGGCGUUACCGACAGAAGAAGCACCGGCUAACUCCGUGCCAGCAGCCGCGGUAAUUC
rnacentral:rRNA from 1 species